GUCGCCGGGAACAGGCUGUUCGGUAAGUACCACGCUGUAGCGGCGCCGCGAUCGGGCUGCGUGCGCGACGACGACGGUUACAAGUGGCCGUGUCUACCGCGGCGCGCGCCCCCCUUCGCCGUCGUCUCCGCCGCUAUAUACCGGUCGAGGUGGCUAUUUUUCGUUCCAUCUCGCCGCCGCCCGCCACGUAAUAUUAUCUCUCGGGUGCGCGUCUACUUUGCCGCCGUCUUCGCGUCCGCACCGUCGCGGGAUAUUAAAGAUGACCGCCGCGGCCGCCAUUUUGAUUACAGUGACCGGAUCGCGGCCGUUGUUUUUAUUUUUGGUUUUUUCAUCGGUCGGAAAUCGGUCCGAAAAAUCGACUCCCGGGGGUGGGGGGGGGGCGGUUUGCGGUAUAGCGAAUUCACGGCGCGUCCGGUCGGUAAUCAUGCGUAACCGCGAAAUACCGUAGGAAAACCGGGUGAUUUACGGCGAAAAAGCGAUUUCAUUCGCUGAAAAAAAUAUUCUUGGCGAACGGAAAUUUCCACAGAAUACAGUAGUAUUGAACUUUUUCGGACGCGGAAAAAUUUUGAAAAAAUCCCGGCGUUUCGCCGUCUAUUCGUAGAUGUUUGACAUUUUCGUUUUUUUUUUUUUUUUUGUUAUUUGGCGGCAGGUGUCGAUGUAACAAUUAUUCGACUAAACAGAAACGCUUGAAAUCUAACACGCGGUUCGUUGUAAGUCGUACGUACUGGUCGAAACUGAAAAAUAUUACGUGUAAUGUAGAAGUUUUUAUUUUUUUCCUGCAUGCGUUUUUUCGAGUCGUCUUCACUUACGCGUUGACAUUUUGAUGGAAAUCGUAAAAAUGGAAUUUCAAAUCAAGUAUAACGGAAAUUCGCUCAGAAACGUGUUACGUGUAUCGUUUCGUGCAAAUGUAAAUUAAAUAACUUUAUGUAACCCUACGAACAUUUUUUUUUUUUUUUGAAAAUGCAUUGGAAAAUAAUCGUUGAGACCGAAAAAUUUCGCUAAAUACACAUUUUUAUGUUGGCGAUUUCCCGAAGCGAUGCUAUUUGAAAUCGAUUUUUUUUUUUAUGCACAUAAAAAUUAAACUCGUUUUUACCAUAAUUCGUUAAAAUACGAUCAACCAGAAUAUUUAUUUUUCGCAAUACGGUUUGCUGAUAAAACGUUCGAGUGUUCGAUCGACGCGCCGUUACUUAACCGAAAGUCUCUCGGAAUCGUUUUUCGUUCGCAAACGGUUUACAGACAUAAAUGUUUCGGAAACUACCCGUUACAUUACGCUGUUCGGGUGUCCUCCGGGAUUCUCGCCCUAAACCUUAUCGCCCGCGAGAACGAUACGAAAGCUUGUAGACUUUUUUCGAUUUUUUUUUUUUUUACCAAUGGUAAACGUCGUCCACGGGCCGGUUCCGCCGCUAUCGUCUGCACGACGUUACGCGAACCGUGGUAAACGCUCGGAUCGAUUGGUGACGCGCAAAAGGUCCCCGAACAGGUAAUAAUUUUUACGAUAAAAAAAAAAAAAGAAAAUUGAUUGAAAAAAAAUUACAAAUCCUUUUUUUUUUGUACACAUUAGGUAUGAUACAAGCGCGUACGUGACUCGUCGCGGCGUUUUUGUACAAAGGUUCGUUAUGAACGCGCGUAAAUUAUGUUUUCACCCCUCCUUCUCCUCGUCCGCCGCUGAUUUACCUUUUGACGGUCAACGAUGUCGUCGCGUCGACGGAAAAACGCGCGUACGAAAAAUUACAAUAAAAUAUCGCGAGAGCGCCGCAUGGGAAUUCUGUGUGUUUGUGUUUUUUUUUUCAAAGGCCGCGCUCAAUUCGAUAACCGCCGCCAUCAUAAUACAGCGAGUUGUGCGGCGGAGGGGAAGGGGAGGAGGUUGUGGGUAAUAUAAAUACGAGAAAUCGCGCGGAAAAUAAUUCGGAACCGCCGUAGGGGGGGGGGAAAUAUCACUGCAGUUAAUGACGUUUUACUAACAUCGGUUUUCGCUCUAUCGCGUCGUAAUUCGUUACGAAAACCGUACGGCCAAAAGCGUUGCGUCGUUUUACAUUCGUAUAUUUGCACUCGGGUUAGAUUUGUUCUUGUUUUUUUACUCUGUAUUGCUAAACAAUCCGAAUCUCGGCCGUGACAAAAUGUAGUCGGUUUUUUACGGAAAAAAAUUUAAAAAAUAAUAUUAUGUUGUUAUUCUAACUUAUUAAAUACACACGUCGACGUAUUCUUCGCGUCGUGUUUCUUGUGCAAUACCGGGUUACGUGUGCGCUUAUUAUCGCGCGUUUGACGCUGUUGCUACGACACUACCCCGAAGAUCGAUUUCCGUCGUCACUGUUAUCGAUCCGUAUGGUUACCCGUUUUUUAUUUUUUUUAUUUUUCACCUUCAGUUCGGAUUUUUUGAACAUUUUAAAAUGUUUUGUUCUCGUACGGAAUUUUGAUUUGCCGUUGUCCAAUUUGAUAAUACGUCCGGUAUAAAUAAUUAUAAUUUUAUAUUUUCGGCAAAACUAAAUGAUCAACAUAAAUAAUUUACGAUUUCGUUUUAUCAAUAAUAUUAUAAUAUUAACGAAGGAACAAAUAAAAAAAAAAAAUGCUCUCUUAGGAUAAUGUGGACUGUUGCAGCCAAUGUUAUCCGUGAGAAGUUGGGAAAGUAGGAUAUAGAUGGGAAAUUAUUUUGUAUCUGUAAGUGAAGAUAAACCAUUGCUUACUAAAAACGAUUUUGAGCGGAGUUCAGUUGAUUGUGAUGCUUUGUCAAAAUAGGCAUUAUAUAUUUGCUUUAAUAAUAUUUGUUUAAUAUUGUACUGAUUUUCACGGUUUUCCCAUAUUUUCUCAGAUUUUUACAUUUGCUAAAAAACUCAUGGGAAAAUUGAAAUACGACCUCCAUAAAGUACCUUUCUAGUCAGAUUUCCUUUCAGAAAAAAUGCUAUCAUUGUAAAUCAGAUCAAAAAAUGCUGGUAGAAAAUUUGUACACAAAAAAAAAAUCGCAAUAUUUUACAAAUGUAUUUCAUCGUUUUUUUUCUUCGGUUUUUCACAUUUGAUAAGAAAACUCCUGAGAAUAUCGAAAAAUCACCUCACUAAGAAAAUUUCUAGUCAAUAAAGGGUCUACAUCCUAUACAUCGGACUAAGCUUUCUGGUAAAAAAAGUGUUCACAUAAAAAAAAAAAAAAUAAACAUCUUUGUAAAACCAAUACAUUCUUCCCUUCACUCGUAAUCUAAACAAAUUUAAAAAAAAAACCUAUACGAUUUAUUUGAUAAUUCAUAAUACGAGUAAAUUGUUUAAUAAUUUAUGCGAAGUAACGGUCCGAAUGAGUUUUCAAUCGAUACGUAAUAUAAUUUAACUAAAUCGAAAAUCAUGAGCGGCGUGUUUUUAACUCAUUAUACGCGUUAAUCGGUAUUCGAUCGAUAAAUUAAAAUAUCUAAAAAGGCCGCGGACAUUUUUCGUACCGCGGUCAGACCGAUGUCGUACGCGGGAAGUUGGGAAGGUAUAUCGGACGAUAAAAAAACCGUAUCCGAAUGGAUUUCGGUGAAUUGUCACGCUUACUACAGUAUUAAUAGUGUUUUUUUUUGUUUUUGUGACUAAAAUGAUACACAGAAAAAAAAAAUAGCCAUGCAUGUCGUCAUUUAUUGUCAGUUUUUUUUUUUUUAGAAAAACUGUCGGGAAUCUAGGAAAAAGUUCAAAUAAAAUCCCCGCGGGAUGGAAAUUUCGCAUUUUUUUCAAUGUACCGCGUAAAAAAAUCGGAAUAUUUUCGCAUUUCGAAAAAAGCGUUUUUCGUGGCAAAAAAAAACAAACAUAUUUUGAUAAAACCAUAAUGUGCAAUGAUUUAUUGUUGCAUACACAGUAUAUAUUAUAAACUAAAUUACCCCGUAUAUAUCUUACCUUCCCAACUACCCACCUACAACAGCUAUAGAUGCUUACUCGCGGGCCGUAUCGACCAUUUGUUUUAUUAUUAUUAUUAUUAUUAUUAUUAUACAAGUACAUUUCUACAACAGUAAUACUAUAAUUUAUGCAAUUUGUGUGUUUAUAAUACUGUGUUUGAAGAGAAAAAAAUACGGUAUAGCGAUUCACAUCGGCCGCUGAUUAGGUCCUUAUCCUUAUAUCGGUCGUAUUUCAGUGAAAUUUCGCACUUGCACGAGUACUAAAUUAAUAAUAAUAUUAGCGCCACUCUCAGUAAAAAUCGCAAUUACUUUACUGUAAAUGUUCCAGAUGUUGUUGGUAGUGUUGGUACCCAUCCAGUGGGCAAUUUAAAUGUUUCCAAACCAGUUGGAUAUAGAAACUGUAAACUAAAAAAAUACUAAAUUAAUAUAAUAUACUAUUUAAAAAGAUUUAUCUGUAAUUCUAUUAAAUUAACUAUGUAUUUCAUAUCUCGAAAGUAAAUUUUAAAAGUUAUAUUCAAAUUAUUAACCUUAUUAUAAUACAUAUUGUUUACCUAUUUGAAAUAAAAAUUGUUUUUGUCUCAUUGCAGGAGGGUUACCAGUAGGAAUCUCAUUCAUAGUUAGUGGCUCAGUUUCAGUUCUCUGAAUAACAAAAUAGGAAGAACCACCAAUAUUUUGUGGCCGCCACCACAAACACGUUAUUAUUGAUUUGAUAACAGCAAUAAUGCAUUUUAACCGGCACCGUAAAAGUAUUGACCAAGGUAGAGAUGUGUCGUUCACGAACGAACCGGAUCAUUUGAACGGGUCAAAGUAGUGAACGAUAUGAUUCAGAUCGCUGAACCGAAGUGAUCAGGAUCACCUGAUAUUAUUUUUUCGUAUUGGUUCAUAAGUUCAUACACGAGUUUUUGAUAACGUUAUCACAAUAAUAAUCUUUAUAUUAUAACUAUUUAUUAACUAUACUCCGUGCCACGAGNUAUAGUAUACCAUAAUAUCAGUAGAGGAGUUUUUUUAUUAAAUAAGUAUAAUUUAUUUUUAUUAUUAAAUCUAAAUACUAUAAAAUAAAAGUAUUAUAUUAUAUUUUGUCACAUUUAAAUUAGAAAAUAUACAUAAAUUAAUAAUUUAAAUGUUUUCGUCGUCGUCGGAAUCUGAAGUAGUGUCGCCUGUAAUUGUUAAUGUGUGCUCUCCUGUUUCGGCGUCCAAAAUUUCGUUAGACAGAUGAUCAACUAUCCAGAAUUUGUCCUCUUCUUUUAUUACGUGGCCAACAAAAUUUGUCCACAUUUCGCUAGUUACUUGUUCCACAUCAUCUUUUAAUAAGUUAUGCAUAUCUUGUAGUUUAAAUGUCUUAUUGUUCAUAUGUACAUAAUGUUUUAUCCAGGUCCAAGCAAGCUUUAUAUGGUUCAGCUCACAGUGGUAGGGAGGCAACCAUAGAACUAUUUUAUUUUUUUAUUUUGAUACUUCGUCUAUCACAUACUUGUCGUGCAGCGGUUUAAACUUAAUGGCUAGUUCUAAAAGCUCAGAUUUAACCAACGAUGGCUGAAUUAUUUCACCUUCUUUUUCUAACCAAUCUAUAAUUUUUUGUUUUGUCCAAGACAUGGUUGGAAAUGAAUAUUUUUUUGUGCCUUUUAUGCCUUUGAGUUUGUUUCACCUGCAUUGACCCAGGUUUCGUCAAGGUAUAUUGGUCUACCACUUAGCCUAUAAUGUUUUAUAGAUUGUAAAUAUUUACGACGCCAACACACGAUAUUGUUUCGUUCAAUAAGUGCACUAUUACGAUUUUUUUUUUUCAAAUAUUCAAAAUUUAGAUGUUUUAAAAUCAUGCGUAAGGACGUCUUCGAAAAAUUUGGCAAAUUCUUAUCAUCAUUUACAACCACUAACAUUUUAUUCAAAGUAGGUAUUUCUCGAUUAAACCGAAAACUAUGGACUUUCAGCCUAAUGGCGUUUUGGUCAAAAUCGUCGGUUUUGUCUAUCACUGUCUUCCUAUUUUUUUUUUUUAUUUGGCAAUGAAACUGUACCUUUAGUUUUGUAUUCUGCUAGCGUACGCUCCACUGUUUUUUGUCCAAGACCACUCGUCUUUGAAAUUGUUUUGACGAUGUCCUUAUAUUUCAUUUUUUGACUAGCUUCUAUGUUCUCUUGCUCCAACAUUAAAUUUUUGUAGAAAUUGACAACGAUUUUUUUUUGUCGUGUACCAACGAACUUAAAAAAAAAAUACGAAGAAUUAGCAAUAUAUUGGGCAUUUAGCAUAGAACAAAAAAAUGUUAGUAUGAUAUUAUUUAUUAUAAAUAUUUACUUUUCCAGAAGGAUUUCUUUUGACAAGUGAAAUAUCGGUCAUUAUAAACAGUUAAAUAAUAUUCCCCUACGAAGAUUUUCAAAGUGAUUUCACUAAGAAUAAAAUAGCUACGGUAUACCUAGCGUAUGCAGAGUUCCAGAAAUCUUACUACGGUCGUGACAUCGUCACGCCGCUAUUAACCCGAUCGGAGUUCAAGACAUGCUCCAAUCAUUGUUAUCGAUAUGAGUCGGCAGAAUGACAACUUAAAAACAUCGACUGUGGAUCUUGGGAUUGAAUUCGAAGCAGAUAUAGCAUUUCCACC
rnacentral:lncRNA from 1 species